GUCGUGAGACAGUUCGGUCCCUAUCCGCUGUGGGCGUUGGAGAUUUGAGUGGAGCUGUCCUUAGUACGAGAGGACCGGGACGGACAUACCUCUGGUGCAUCGGUUGUACUGCCAAGUGCAUGGCCGAGUAGCUACGUAUGGACGGGAUAAGCGCUGAAAGCAUCUAAGUGCGAAGCCCCCCACAAGACAAGAUCUCCUCCGCAAGGUAAGGCUCGUGGGAGACUACCACGUUGAUAGGUCGGAGGUGUAAGUAUGGUAACAUAUUAAGCUGACCGAUACUAAUAGGCCGAAAUCCUGACCAG
rnacentral:rRNA from 1 species